rnacentral:rRNA from 1 species
UGUAUUUAUUAGAUUAAAAACCAAUGCCCUUCGGGGCUCCUUGGUGAUUCAUAAUAACUUAACGAAUCGCAUGGCCUUGUGCCGGCGAUGGUUCAUUCAAAUUUCUGCCCUAUCAACUUUCGAUGGUAAUAUAUGGGACUACCAUGGUUUCAACGGGUAACGGGGAAUUAGGGUUCUAUUCCGGAGAGGGAGCCUGAGAAACGGCUACCACAUCCAAGGAAGGCAGCAGGCGCGCAAAUUACCCAAUCCCGACACGGGGAGGUAGUGACAAUAAAUACUGAUACAGGGCUCUUUUGGGUCUUGUAAUUGGAAUGAGUACAAUUUAAAUCCCUUAACGAGGAACAAUUGGAGGGCAAGUCUGGUGCCAGCAGCCGCGGUAAUACCAGCUCCAAUAGCGUAUAUUAAAGUUGUUGCAGUUAAAAAGCUCGUAGUUGAACCUUGGGCCUGGCUGGCCGGUCCGCCUCACCGCGUGCACUGGUCCGGCCGGGUCUUUC